rnacentral:lncRNA from 1 species
UUCUCAUUUGUUGUACGUGUUUAAUUAGAUUUUUAUUUUGAUAAAUUUUAUUUAAUUUAAUUCUUUUUCAUGACAGCUUUUACAUUAUUAAUGAAAGAGUGUACAUUGUGAUACUGUUUACAUGACGAGUGUUGUUUUUGCUUACAUGAUUUGUUAGUAGAAGAGAAGCUUGAGACCCUCGUAAAUGUAGCCAUAGCCAGCUGACACUUUAUAAUGUUUUCUCUUUCUUCCUUCUCUUUUACGAAAGUUCAAUCUUCUAAAUCUAUAGUUGUAAACGAAAUAAGCUUUGGUGGUUGACGUUGCUAGUAUGCAGGCUGAGCUUUUUAGUCGAGCUUCUCCUUUGCUGAUUGAACUUUCAAACUUCUCUUAUAUUAGCCAAGCUUCUCAAUCGAACUUUUCCUUUAUUAAUAAGUCACAUAAGCAAAACAUAGCACACACGUCAAGCAAAUAGUUUUACGCUAUUCUGUUAACAAUUUAAAUUAUUCUGUUAAUAAUUUAAAUGACAUCAUAAAAAAUGAAUAAAAUUUAUCAAAAAAAACAAAAAUUAGGACCAAAAUGGAUUUUAAGUGUUAUUUCAUAGAGUAGUGUCAGUAAUAUUUUUAUUAUUAAUAUUUAUUGAAAAAAUUCUUAACAUUUUAGUAAUACUACUUCAUAAUUAUUAUUUUUUUCAACUAAAAAUUAAAUCAAGUUGUUUGAAUUCAAAAUUCAUAAUUAUUUCUUUGAUAUGGAAUCGAAGAUAUAAAUAUUUACCUAGUUAGUAUUUUAAAGUAGUUCUGAAUGAUACAACAUGAAUUAGAAAUGCAAAAUGAAUUAGAAUUUAUAAUCCGAAAUAAAAUCAAAUGUUUAUUUCAUUUGAGUUAACAUAUAUAUACAAUUAAGCAUCUAUUAGUAACCUUAGCCCACAUAAGAACUGAUAAAUCCUUAAAUAGACUAACAUCAUUAACAGCAACACUCAACAUAAUAACACAACAAAUAAAGGUAGGCUAAGGACUUACUUUACUUAGCCUUACGAACCAUUUGUUCUGUGAUCUUAGCCAAGGACCUAAGAUUGCAAGCUAUGAUGGUAUUCGCAAAGCAGCACGUGUCUUCCUCACUACUUCCUGCCGGAACAUCCACCACGUACGACUCAAUCGCCACCGUCCUCCCCCCAUAUUUCUCUUCUUCUUCAUGCAAAGUAAUCGUGGAACUGUAAUUCACAAGCCUGUGAUCACCGCCAAUGAUGCUAAACUUUAAAACAUGUUUCUCAUCAUCAAGCUUGUCUAACCUCUCCACACUAACACCAGCCGGUAACCCGGAUGUGACCAUCACCUCACGUACACUUCCA